CUAUAAAAGCCGUGUACAAGAAUAGUUUGCAGCAGUACUGAUCAGCGCGUGUUUGCUAACAAGUGACAAUGUACCCGAACCCUUUGGAGAGAAAACACUCAACUAUACGUCAGAUGGUUGAUAAAUUUCUGUGUCCGGAGGCAAACCGCAAGAACAAGAACAACAAUAACAACACCAAAUACGGAAAUUGCUCGUCGUCUUGUAAUAAGCAAACCGAUCAUAGUAGAACUACGUCAGGAUAUGGAAAAUAGAGACUGUUUCUUCGUAAAUCACGGUUUAUGUUUAUUAAUACAUUUAUUGAUUAGAGAAGAUACUUUAAAUGCGUGGCGGACUCGAAGAGAUCAAGACGGAACAAGCGACAGAAUUUGGAAAGGGUAAAUAUGUCUUAUCCAUGGUGCAGUCCGAUGUUCGACGAGGCAUAUAUUUUACUGACCGAGGAACUGAUGUUAAGACGUCGGUCUGUCAGUCUGUGGAUUACAGUGAAGUGUGAGGAAGCAACGUAGACCAGCACUGUCCAGUUUUCUGGAGACAAAUGUAAACUGCUCGUUCUUCUCAGUUCUUGUAGACAUCUGCACACUGAAGAUAUUUCCAAAGAUCCACAUAAAGAAGGCUAGUGGCCGUGUACAUAUCAGUUUGGAUACCAUUGAAUUGUUUUGUGUCUGACCCGCUGUGUCUCUAACAGUAUUACUGUACUUCAGCCAAAGUGCGAACGGUGCUUCUCAAACCUGUUGACAGUUACCCUGGUUACUCUCAGACCUUAUUUUCGAUUAUAAACAAGAGUGUAUUUCUUUAGUAUCAUGUUUAGACAUCCGAAAAGUGAAUGGUCACAGAAGUAUAUAAAAUGAUGAUUGAUAGAGAUUUGCUGAAAUCCGAAUUGACUUUAUAUAGUUAGAAACUCAUAGAAAUCUACACGGGUAGGAUUACUUGGAGGCGAAAUUUAUCUAGCGACAAAAUGGCAGGACACUAAAAUUGGCGGGAAUGUUUGACGGCGAAAUUUAUCUAGUCAAAAAGCCACAGGAUUCUAAACUUUGUGAUAAUGUUUGGCAGGGGGCGGGAACGCUUCGUGGCGAACUUGCUCUAGUCACAAACUCACAAUACUGCAAAGUGAGUGACAGUGACUGGCAGCGAAUUAUAACCUUGUCGGUUGAUCGAAUAUACAGGGUGAUUCCGUCAGAAGUGAAAAUGUUGUAGGGUACAGAUCUCAGUACUGACUUUUAUUAAUGCUAAAUUGGGGACAUAGGAGUAACUAUGGCUCUUAUAAUUGUUCCAAUUCAAUAGAAAAAGGAGGGGUCCAUGUAACUGCGAAUGUGAAUCUCUCUCUCUUUCGUUUUCGCUAUAAUUUAAAAUUGAAUAUUUUUAGAGCUCAUCCACGACAAUUAUCCAGCACAGAGGAUUAAAUGCCAUUUUCUGUUGUCCACAUUAAAAACAUUACAUUUUCGUUGAACAGAAGUUGACGAGACCUGCACUAAAAUUGAAGAAUAAAUUGUAAUUAGUAUCAUCGUUCCUUACUGUUUCGGCAUUUUAUUACUACUUUUUAUGUGAAGACAAAGUUAACCCUGAGUUUAAUUAACUAAGCAUCACAUCAUGAAGAUGAGCAGGGAGUGGAGUAUAGCUUCACCAUUCUUAACCUCGGUACUAGUUGGAAGGUCGUGGUCAGCUUCAUGCACCUGCCACUUUACCCUCCAAGGGAAAACUCCCGAUACACAUUGUGUACGAAACUUGGUGGGCCAUCGAGCUGGUCUUGACAUUACGGAGAAGAACAAAUCUCUCUUACUUGCCAGGAACUGAACCCCAACUCCUCGGUCGUUCAACGCGUAACCUUAUCGCUAUAGCGACUGAGCUAGAGUUCCUAAAAAUCUUAUAUUCUGAUGAAAUUCCAUAAAGCACUUAAAAAUGGCAUUUUCAACGGUAACAGGAAUACUCUGUUCCCAUUGCUACGCUGCUGAGCUUGCAUUUGUAAUGCAUUAGGCUCAGACCUACCGAGUAAUCAGUCAACUGUGUACUAUUUCAGAUUCUCACAGCUGUGGUUAUGAAGGGUGACAUAUUCUGGGAUACAGUGACGCAGUGUAGUCGCCUCCAUUUCCAGCUUCGAAUAAUUAGCCAUUUUUCAUGCUGGUUUCUUGCUUGGUUUAUUGGCAUUAUAUCCCCGAAUACAGAACUCUUCAUAAUUAGUGAGAUGUUUAUUUUCAAAAGGACAUAUAUGUUGCUCGUUUUGAGCGAAAAGGGACACUACAACAGUGCUGUGUUUGAGAAUCACCGUGCAAUCUGAUGUAUUAGCUAGUCCGAUGUAGCACUGUACGCUUCGUGAUUUAAUUUAUUUCCUCUGUUCUAUUUUUAUUGAGCAAUUAUGUUUGUAAACCAAAUAUAUAAGUGUAAGUGUGUAACUUAUUAUAUAAGCACCAUUUUGUGACAUUUUUUUUACAGAGAUAAAUAAUAAAAGAAUUGCCUAUAACCGAAACAUUUUU